rnacentral:rRNA from 1 species
AGUGAACGCUGGCGGUAGGCCUAACACAUGCAAGUCGAACGGCAGCACAGGAGAGCUUGCUCUCUGGGUGGCGAGUGGCGGACGGGUGAGGAAUACAGCGGAAUCUGCCCAGUCGUGGGGGAUAACGUAGGGAAACUUACGCUAAUACCGCAUACGACCUUCGGGUGAAAGAGGGGGAUCGCAAGACCUCUCGCGAUUGGAUGAGCCGAUGUCGGAUUAGCUAGUUGGCGGGGUAAUGGCCCACCAAGGCGACGAUCCGUAGCUGGUCUGAGAGGAUGAUCAGCCACACUGGAAAUGAGACACGGUCCAGACUCCUACGGGAGGCAGCAGUGGGGAAUAUUGGACAAUGGGCGCAAGCCUGAUCCAGCCAUACCGCGUGGGUGAAGAAGGCCUUCGGGUUGUAAAGCCCUUUUGUUGGGAAAGAAAUCUUUCAGGCUAAUACCCUGGGAGGAUGUCGGUACCCAAAGAAUAAGCACCGGCUAACUUCGUG